AUUGAACGCUGGCGGCAGGCUUAACACAUGCAAGUCGAGCGAGCGGCGGACGGGUGAGUAAUGUCUGAGAAACUGCCUGAUGGAGGGGAAUAACUACUGGCAACGGUAGCUACUACCGCAUACCAUCAGAUGUGCCCAGAUGGGAUUAGCUGGGAGGUGGGGUAAUGGCUCACCGAGGCGACGAUCCCUAGCUGGUCUGAGAGGAUGACCGGCCACACUGGAACGGAGACACGGUCCAUACUCCUACGGGAGGCAGCAGUGGGGAAUAUUGCACAAUGGGCGCAAGCCUGAUGCAGCCAUGCCGCGUGUGUGAAGAAGGCCUUCGGGUUGUAAAGCACUUUCAGCGAGGAGGCGUUACUCGCAGAAGAAGCACCGGCUAACUCCGUGCCAGCAGCCGCGGUAAUAC
rnacentral:rRNA from 1 species